AGGACAGCGGAGUCAAUCACCACCUUCCGGAGACACCUGAAACCCCACCUCUUUAAGGAAUACCUAGGAUAGGAUAAAGUAAUCCUUCUCACCCCUCCCCCCUUAAAAGACCUAGAUGCACUAUUGUAAAGUGGCUGUUCCACUGGAUGUCAUAAGGUGAAAGCACCAAUUUGUAAGUCGCUCUGGAUAAGAGCGUCUGCUAAAUGACUUAAAUGUAAAUGUAAACUAAUAAUAAAAAAAAUAAAAAAAUGUAAGCUAACAAUUGGGCAUAGAAGUUAAAGAUAUAAUCAGAUAAAACAUAUGAGAAAUGCACGCGAAUCGAUCCUUGACCGACUCGCCCUAUCUACAUAUCCCAUUAUCAACAGUAAACAUGAUAUACAUGGAGUACACAGCACAAUGAAAUGCUUAGUUGCAGGGUAACCUCUCGACAAUACAACUGUAGUAGAGUUAAAAUGUUUAUUCCAUCAAACUUCAAAUUAUUAGAAUAGUACACAACGCAGAACAGAACAACCAGGUUGAGGGUCAGUGGCCAAAACCGGGAACAGGAAUAUUCCAAGUUCAGACAGAAGGGCGGAGUCAGAUCGCUAUGAUCGCCAGGAACUUUACUUUUGGUGUCUAUUUUUAAUUGUUGCGCUUCUGGUGCUGCCUGUUGAUGUUCUGUAGGCAGCUACAGUAGCUGAAUGAUGUUAACAUCUUCGGGUUUUGUUUCAUUCAAUGUAUGUUAUUUCAUCUGGGUGUUGUGUCACCUACUAACACCCUGGUAUCACCCGUUGCUCCCGUUCUCCUCAGUCCGAGAAAACACUGAGAGAGUAAGGUAUGUGUUGCAGUUUACUCCUUUGUAGAAGUCCAUAACGUGAAGAAAGAAAAAUAAAUCCCAUGGUUAAUGCUGUAGAGAUUGUUAUAAGGGAGUGUGAGAGUAUUGAAACAUGUACCUUUCAGAGUUGUAUUGUUGUUAUUAUAGUUUACAGAGUGCUAAAGGUGCUGCCGUUGCUAGCUAGCAUGCCUUUCUGUGAUGCAGACGGUUAGCUGAGCUGCCGACUGGUGCCUGCUUUGCAUUAUGGGAGAUGUAGUUUGGUCAUCUACGGUGUGAAUGGAAUAGAGGCGAUUUCACGUUGUAACUUGUUUAUGUUGCAGAGUUUUUGUACAUGAGUUGUUAUAUUUUGGUUCUGUCAACACUGACAUCACCUAGCAAUGUAUUGGGGAUGUGAGACAGGAUAUGGGUUUUUACCUUUCUUCAUGCUCCUGUGUAGAACAACUUGUCAGAUGGUGCAUUGGAGACUGAUGUGUUCCUGUCCUGUCUUUUCACAAUACUAUUGCAGAUCAACAUAAAAGCCUAAAAGACAGCCGUGGUGUCGCUCUUCAUUUCUUGGUUCUCCUGUGGUACAUAAGAACGUGGUGUCGCUCUUCAUUUCUUGGUUCUCCUGUGGUACAUAAGAAUGUGGUGUCGCUCUUCAUUUCUUGGUUCUCCUGUGGUACAUAAGAAACCCGCUACACAACAAUAGAAAAAGCCCCCCGACUCUGCACUCAAGAAAAAAUUGGACCGCGGCUUAAUCUAGUUGAUGAUCCCUGCCUUAAAUGUUGCAUAGUCCUUGUCAAAAGAUUUGUGAAACAUCACAGACAUAUGGUGAAUACCUUUUGAAAGUGGACAAUACUUUUCUGGCCUCUUGCCUUCCUUGAGUUUGUGAUCAUCUAUAUGUAUUUAAUCUGAUUCUUCAUAACUGUCUUUGUUUUAGAAUUGUGCAACAAUGUCCAAAUUUGGGAAAACAAAAAUCUUUAUCGUGGGAAAGGAAAUUCCAUUGAGAGGCAAGGCUCUGAGGCAAAAGAGGCACAUUGUCCCUCAGUGCUGCACCUCCGUCUCGGAACCUCCUCAAGCCCAAAGGUAGGACCAAUGUCCAGCUACAAAUAAUACCCAGACUACCAAUGCUCAAAGGAGGAAAGGGGAAACAGUUGCUGCAUGGAGAGAGAUGAGGGAGCAGCUGCACAACAUCCUUGUGGAGAACAUGUCCCCCCCCCCCAGUAAAAUCCAUCUGCUCCAUGUGUGGGAUCGAGCCAGAGAUCAUUUGGAGGUGCACUGACUGUGGGGCUGAGACAAGAGUUCGCUGUGACUGUGUGGUGGCAACCCAUAAAGACAAAAAGAUUGUGUGCUGCCUGAAGAUCUGGCAGAGCUCUGCCAGUGUGAGCCGGAAGCAGUGUCAUUGGUCAGGUACAUGCUCUGGCCUUGCACACCACGCCAGCCUCAGACUGCAGUGGUCUGCUCACUGCUCACUACUGCUCACAGAUAACCAGCCUGCAGCUUGAGAGUGGUGUUUCACUCAGAGCCAUAUGCCUGUCAUAAAAUGUUCCUCAUAGGGAAGAGACUUGUAUACUGCCCUGUCGGAACUUGUUGCCGUUGUCUGGCCCCAGAAACUGCCAAUGGAACCCAGUGCCCGCUCUGUCCCAAGGGUUGCCAUGGAUUUCAAGUGCGCAACGCCAUCAGGUCCAAACCCAAAACAGCGAAAUUGGACGAGACAAGUGUGUUGGGGGUUUCCUAGAAGUAUGAGCACCCACUUCACUUCCUGAACAUGAAAAAAUGUGAAAGUGUACCUGCUGCGAGAGAUGAAGGGGGGAUGAGAGAACAAGAGCAAGAACAACAAUCUCAUCUUCAUGUAUGACAUCGCAUGCAAGAUGUAGCCACAUGUGCAAAGAAACUUUCCUGAAUUGAAGCAUGGGACCAAAUUGGUUGUGCCAGUUUUCCAUGCUGAUGGACAUGACUUGCCAUGGCAGGUACUCGAACAGGAUCAUUAAU